GAAACCUUAACACUUCAAAAUUCAUAGAGGAAAUAUGGCUUCAGGAAACAAAGUUGGUGUAAUAUAUCUUCUCAUUUUGUCUAGUGCAGUUCUACUAAGUGUCAAUCCAGCAACUGUAAGCGCAAGAACAAUAUGCCCACUUUAUCCAUGCAUGGCGAGUAUGAGUGGGUAUAUGAUUUGCCCAUCUUCGGGCAGUACGCAACUUAAUCCGCCCUGCAAUUGCUGCUAUGCUCCGAAGGGCUGCACUAUUUAUCAUGCUUCUGGAACUUCAAUCUGUACUGCCACUUGAAGGGAUCGAUAGACAUGGAUGUUAAACAUGUUUGCUAGUACUCGCAUUUGGUUUGCAAAAUAAAGUUGUCUGUGUUGUUACAUAGAGACAAUGAAUUGUAUUGCCUACAUUGCAUUUGUACCUUUACAAUAUCAUGUCUUUUCAUAUAUAGACUCUUUUGUACUCUAUCACUAUGUGUGCGAUCACUUAUAUUCAAUGAGUGUUCUUUUUGUUUA